GUUUACAUUACAGCCUGCUGGUCGAUGGUCAGGUGAGCUAUCCUAUCCACAGCUGGCCAUAUCAACAUGGUGACGAGGGCCAUUCUGUCAACACAGGCCUGGGAUUUACGUAAAGAAACAGGGGUGCUGUUUGAGCGUGUGGCGAUGGAUCUGGUGGGUCCAUUGGUGAAGACCGCGAGGGGACACCAAUACAUCAUGGUAACCGUGGUUUAUGCCAUCCGGUAUCCUGAGAUGAUCCCAUUACACACGGCGGUAGCGAAAGGUAUCGCACGGGAUCUCUGUGCUACAGGUGGGUGUGCUACAGGUGGGUGUUGUUAUCGUGACCAGAGAACUGAGAUAAGGCGGAGCUGUACCUAGCAUAGACUUAUAGAUGACCUGGAGCCAGUGGGUCUGGCGACGAAUAAGUAGCGAUGGCCAGCCGACUAGAGCAUACAGGUCGCGGUGGUGGGUGGUAUAAGAUGAUUUGGUAACAAAACGGAUGGCACUGUAAUAGACUGCAUCCAGUUUGCUGAGUAGAGUAUUGGAAGCUAUUUGGUAGAUGACAUCGCCAAAGUCGAGGAUCGGUAGGAUAGUCAGUUUUACGAGGGUAAGUUUGGCGGCGUGAGUGAAGGAGGCUUUGUUGCGAAAUAGAAAGCCAAAUCUAGAUUUGAUUUUAGAUUGGAGAUGUUUAAUGAGUCUGGAAGGAGAGUUUACAGUCUAGUGAGACACCUAGGUAUUUAUAGUUGUCCACAUAUUCUAGGUCGGAACCGUCCAGGGUGGUGAUGCUAGUUGGGCGAGAGCGGGCAACGAAUGGUUGAAAAGCAAGCAUUUGGUUUUACUAGCGUUUAAGAGCAGUUGGAGGCCAUGGAAGGAGUGUUGUAUGGCAUUGAAGCUUGUUUGGAGUCUAGUUAGCACAGUGUCCAAGGAAGGGCCAGAAGUUUAGAGAAUGGUGUCGUCUGCAUAGAGGUGGAUCAGGGAAUCGCCCGCAGCAAGAGCGACAUCAUUGUUAUAUACAGAGAAAAGAGUCGGCCUGAUAAUUUAACCCUGUGGUACCCACAUAGAGACUGCCAGAGGUCCGGACAACAUACCCUCCGAUUUGACACACUGAACUCUGUCUGCAAAGUAGUUGGUGAACCAGGCGAGGCAGUCAUUAGAAAAACCAAGUCUAUUGAGUCUGCCGAUAAGAAUACGGUGAUUGACAGAGUCGAAAGCCUCGGCCAGGUCGAUGAAAACGGCUGCACAGUACUGUCUUUUAUCGAUGGCGGUUAUGAUAUCGUUUAGUACCUUGAGCGUGGCUGAGGUGCACCCAUGACCGACUCGGAAACCGGACAGCGGAGAAGGUACGGUGGGAUUCGAAAUGGUCAGUGAUCUGUUUAUUAACUUGGCUUCCGAAGACUUUAGAUAGACAGGGCAGGGUGGAUGUAGGUCUGUUACAGUUUGGGUCUAGGGUAUCACCCCCUUUGAAGAGGGGGAUGACCGUGGCAGCUUUCCAAUCUUUAGGGAGCUCGGACGAUACGAAAGAGAGGUUGAACAGGCUGGUAAUAGGAGUUGCAACAAUGGCGGCGGAUAGUUUUAGAAAGAGAGGGUCCAGAUUGUCUAGCCCAGCUGAUUUGUACGGGUCCAGGUUUUACAGCUCUUUCAGAACAUCUGCUGUCUGGAUUUGGGUGAAGGAGAAGCUGGG
ensembl:lncRNA